UACGUAGGAGGCAAGCGUUGUCCGGAAUUAUUGGGCGUAAAGAGCGCGCAGGCGGUAUGACAAGUCAGAUGUGAAAGAGGCCGGCUUAACCGGCAAGGGUCAUUUGAAACUGUCAGACUAGAGUGCAGCAGAGGAUAGUGGAAUUCCCGGUGUAGUGGUGAAAUGCGUAGAUAUCGGGAGGAACACCAGUGGCGAAGGCGACUAUCUGGGCUGCAACUGACGCUGAGGCGCGAAGGCUAGUGUAGCAAACAGG
rnacentral:rRNA from 1 species